UAAGAACAAAAUAUGUAUGUACUUGUACAAAUAAAAAUCAAAAUCAAACUGAAAUAGGAAAAAUAAAAUAUAACUGUGAAGAAGCACUACUUUAAAAUCUCACCAUUGAAACAUUUAUAAAAACACUAAUCAAACAAACAAAACAAAAUAAAAACACUUAGUAAGAGCUCUAAAUUGAUUGAAGAACUAUAAUUAUUUUUCAAACACACACACAACUGCCUUUAAGUUUCAAAAAUGUAGUUUUGAAAAUUCAAAAUUUCAAUAAAAACCAUACACAAAAAAAAACAACAAAUAACGUAACAAAACUUUGUACAAAAAUUCGUGUAAUGUUUGCCGUGUCUUUAUAGGUAUAGUUUUGGGGAAGAAGUUUUGAAGAGGAGGCGGCGACCGAGACGUUUCGAUCAUUAAAUAGAACAUACAUACAUAAUAACCAAAAAGAAAUUAUAGGUACCUUUGGACCAUCGCCUCGAUUGGAAUCUUCACUACUUGUAAAUGUACUGCUUGUAUCAAUGCCAGAAUCUUUGGUUGCUGAAUCCUGACUACCCUGUCGUUCCGCAUCCCAACGUGACCAAUCAUCAACCCCAACUAGACUGCCGCCCCCACCAAAGUUGCUGCUACCAAUACUGCUGCUGCCCAAAACCGUCGUUACAGCUGUGGGCGGACCAACAGCAGCAGUAGCCACCGUAAUGAGAUUCGCUGGCUGGACCACCACCUCCACGUCAUCGGCAUCAUCGUUAUGCCCAUCAAAACGUACAGUUUUCUUUCUGCGCUCAGUAAAACGUCGAUUGUCCUGAGCAGAUGCGGACGUCGAGGUGUGUUCAUCCCAGAAGGGAUGAUUCGUAGGUGCUGUAGUCUCGUUAAUAAUAGUUUGUGUCGGAUGAUGGUGGGCGUGCAAGGAAGGUGAUGUGUAGCGCUCAUAUGAGGUACUAAUGGUCGGUUCACCUAUCACUAUUUGCGGGUAAUGCACCUCCAACUCCAGCUCCAACUCCUGUUAAACUGCUGCUAUGAUGAUGGUAGGAUGACGGCGUGGAGUAGAGGGAAGAGUUAAUACCUGCUGUUGUCAGAUGGGGGAAUAAUUGGCCAGCGACACGCUCGGCAAUCACAGAGCGCUGCGGCUGCAGCGGCGGAAGAUGUGCGGAAGCCGGACCUCCACUACUAUAUCGAUCGUGAUUGGUGCGAUUGAAAGUGUUGCGCUGUUGUACAUCUAAUCUAGCUGUGGAGCGGGAAUUUGGUGCUGGCUGUGUUGCAGAGGGGGAAUUGUUGAACGGUUCCGCGUGAUGGAGACGAUUUCUUGCGUUCAAUCGGAAAUCGCGCUUGUUCCAAUUUUCAUGGUUUGCUAAAAAAGGGCAAAUGUUUUUGUUUUGUUUAUGGCUCGAGGGUAUUUUUGUAUUUACGUAUGUUUAAAUAAAUUCUUCUGGAGCUCGUUUUCAAACUAUAA